rnacentral:rRNA from 1 species
AAGCCUGCUUGCAGGCGUUGUAUUUGAGCGUUCUCGGGGUGUCAGUGCGGGCAAGUUGCAUGGAAAUGCACGCCGUGGAGGGUGAGAGCCCCGUCCAACCCACASAGGACACGCCGUACGAGAGCGUUUCAGGCGAGUCGGGUAGCUUGGGAAUGCUGCUCUAAUCGGUGGUAAAUCUCAUCGAAGGCUAAAUAGCGGCUGGAGACCGAUAGCGAACAAGUACCGUGAGGGAAAGAUGACAAGCACUUUGAAAAGAGGGUGAAAAGAGCCUGAAAMCGUCAUGGGGGAAGCGGAUCGCGUUGGCCUGGUGGGCGCCUGUGUGUUCAGCCUUCGGGUGCAUUGGCACAGGUGCUUAUCCGCUGUGGGUUUUCGGGGGUCGAUUUUGGAUCCCUGGAGGCUGAGGGCUCCCUUCGGGUGAGGACAGCGGAGUGACGACGCGAUACGACCCGUCUUGAAACACGGACCAAGGAGUCUAGCGCGGGUGCGAGUCGGAGGGUGCAAGCCCGUGGGCGAAGUGAAAGCGAGUGUAAAAACGAGCAGUUUGGGGCGGCAUAAGAUCGUUGAUCUCAAGACCGACCCAGAGCAGUUGCGCUGGGACCCGAAAGAUGGUGAACUAUGCCGGAGUAGGGCAAAGCCAGAGGAAACUCUGGUGGAGGCUCGUAGCGGUGCUGACGUGCAAAUCGCUCGUCCAACUUGGGUAUAGGGGCGAAAGACUAAUCGAACCAUCUAGUAGCUGGUUCCCUCCGAAGUUUCUCUCAGGAUAGCGGGCCGACAAGUUGUUUUGUGCGGUAAAGCGAAUGAUUAGCGCACGUGGGGCCAUUUCGGCUUCAGGCGAUUCUCAAACUUUAAAUGCGCA